AAAAGUUGUGGUGGAGUAACCAAUAAGUAAGUGUUCAUCCAUCUUUAACCAAAGUUAUAGGGUUCCAGCCCUCGUCUUUUGGUGGAGCGCGCUUUAUCCUUAAAGUGGGAUUUUCCUGAUCGCGAAUCUAGAUUAGUGGUCGGGCCUCAAAGUUGGUAUGUACCGAACACCAGAGGGAAAUAAAAAAAGGAUGAUUACAUUAUGGACACAUGAUAUAAUCUUGAUGAAAAGAAAAGUCGCUUUGAUUGAAAGGAAGAAGCUUGUUAUGGCAUGGAGAUGGAUCAGAAGGUGGCACAGGUCUUCUUGGAAGUUGGUUUUGAAGCAAAUUCAUCGCUUGCAUAUCUCUUAUGCUUUCAACCCUCGAAGCCAUUGAUGUAAGUAGAAGAACAAGAAGAAGAAAAACCAAAGCCCUUAUAUUACAUCUCUCACAAACUGACAUAUUUUCUUUGCUCCUUUUGAUUUUCUUGUUCUUGCACCCUUCUGUUUGUUUUGAAUGGGAAAAUUAAAUAAUUUUAAUAAAAUGUUGAUGUUUAUAGUAUUCAUUUAAUAAUAGAAAAUUUUAUGGCUAAUUUAGGUUUUGGACCACUUUGAAAUUGUUAGUUUUUAGAAAUCGUAAUGAUGCAGUGGCGGCCAGUUUUAGAACUCUACACAGUCUUUCUUUGUUUACGUUGUACAUAUAUUAACUGUCAUUAAAUAUUAAGUAGAACUUAAGACUAUCUACUAUUUAUUUGUCAUAAGAAACGUGAAAUCUAUGCUUUGAUAAUGCUAGAAAACUGUUAAAAUAACAAGGUAUUUUGCCCUUCAAAAAAUUUACUUAUAUUAAUAAGCCUAUAACUGUCCCACAUGUCUAUGAUCGUUUAUUGAACUGACUUUUCGAAUGGACUUAACCCCAGUAUUCAUCUUUUUAUCAAGCGAUUGGACAUUGCUUUGAGAACUUUCCCUUUCUCAAAUAAUUUAGUGCACUGGGAAAGCCAGAAAAAUCAACUGCCUCAAAUUGUGAGUUUCUUUUUGGUAAAAACCAUUUAAAUUAAAUUCAUCCUUCAAUUUUGAACAAUUAUCAUUCAUAUCAAAAACAAAAUCUUAAAAUACCUAGUUUACCCUCUUCAAUAUUUAUCUCUUAUAUUUAUUUUUGAAUAACAAUUUUUUUAUUCUAAUUUAUGUUAUCGACUUACCUAAACUUGUUCGAAACCAAAAUUCUAUCUAUUUACAAAAUUAAGAAUAAAAGAGAGUGAACUAGUAUAAAUUAUACAAUGCACGUAAUGAAAAAAUGUGUGAAAAUAGUAGUAGAUUUUAUUGUAAAUUUGUAAAAAAUAUCUAUUUACACUUUACAUGAUCUUUAAUGAUAAUCUAAAAAAAAUCUACUAAUAACAAUCAAAAUUCAAAAAGUUAUAUACACAUGAAGAAUAAUAAAAUCCUGGAACUUAAAAUCACUCACACACCGACAUAUAUUAUAUGCAUGUUAAUAUGCAUAAUAUUAAAAUUUUAAUAAACAUAAUAUUAAAAUAACAAAUAAUAAUAAAGUAGCUUUACAUUUUCUAAUGAAUUCAUAAGAUGAGUAUUUUAUUUAUAAUGUUAGUGAACUUAGAUUAAAUUAUAUAAUAACAUAUAAUAUUAUUUUUUAAAUUAUGAAUAAAUGCCUGCAUUAAAAAAUAUCUAGAUAAUAUAAAAAGAUAUUAUAUAUAUGGGGAGUUAAAAAUGUCAAGGGUAAAUAAAUUUAACAUAAGAUGAAAAGAUAAAAAGGACAACUAUUUAAAGUUAGAUAAUGAGUUUGAUUUUUAGAGUAAAUUUGGGAAUGUAAUAAAUAAUUUUCACCUUUUUUUAAUGUAGUAAACCCUACUACUAACAAUAACAGGGGAGCGUGAUUAACCAUACAAACCGAUUAUACAAUUAAAUAUUCAAGAAGAAUUACAAACCGUGAAGGUUCUUAAUAUAACAGUAAUCGGUACUGAUUGGGAAUUGUUGGCUAACUACUCACAGGCUCCAAAUGGAAGAAUUUGGGUGUAACGAUUCGACCGGUCAUUUUGAAUAUUUAUAUUUGAUAUUUUAGGGGUAUGAAUAGCUUUACAUAAUGUAAUAUGACUUGUGUGAAUCGUCGAUUUUGGUUUUUAGGUUAUUCGUAAUCCAUUUGGAAGAAUGAAUGUCAUUGUUGGAGCUUUAAGUUGAAAUAGUUGACCAAGUUUGACUUUUUAGUAUUUGACAUCGGAUUGGAGUUUUGAUGGUUUCGUUAGGUCAGGAUAGUGAUUUGUACUCGAGCGUAUGCCCAGAUUUGCAUUUGAAUGCUUCUAGAAGGUUUCAGCACAAAUUGACGAAAAUUGAAAAUUUGAAGGUUUAGAAAGUUUAUAAGUUUGACCGAAAGUUGACUUUGAGGAUAUCGGAUUCGGAUUGUAGUUUCGGGAAUUGAAAUAGUUUCAUUAUUUGGGACUUGUGUGCAAAAUUUGAGUUCAUUCUGGGUUAAUUUGUUAUGUUUCGGCACGAGUUAUGGAUGUUGAAAAGUUCAAAGUUCAUUAAGUUUGAUUUGGGUGUGACUCGUCGUUUCGAUGUUGUUAUGUAUGAUUUGAAGCCUCAAGUAGGUCUGUGUUAUGUUAUUGGACUUGUUAGUAUAUUUGGACAGGGUUCCGAGGGGCCAGGGUGAGUUUCAGACAAGGUUCAGAUCAUUUUCAUUCCUUGUUGAAUUGCUGAGUAGCUACUGGUUCUGGUGUGAUCGCACAUGCGGCUGGUUUUGCGCAGGUACGAUGGUCGCAGAAGAGAGGUGAGAGUUGGCUAGGGAGGCUUCGUAGAAGCGGUUCUUCAGGCGCAGAAGCGCGAUCGCAAUUCCGGCCAUAGUCAUCGUAGAAGCGGUCUUUCUCGCAAAUGCGAGUCUUUUCCCACAAAAGCGAAAGUCGCAUAUGCGACUUCUUGUCCGCAAAUGCGGAAUCUGCUGGGCAGAAGCUAUAAAUUUGAAGUUUUUGUUCUCUUAUCGUAUUUUGAAAUGUGGGACUCGGAUUGAGGCAGCUUUGGAGCAAUUUUUAUCACAAGGCUGGGGGUAAAUGUUCUACCCUUGGUUUUGAUUUUAUUUCAUGAAUUUAUCUUCACUUUUGGAAAUUGAUUCAUUUUAAAGAGAAAUUAGGGGUUUAGCCUAAAGUUUCAUAAUAUGAAUUUUUGAGUUUUAAACAUCAUUUCGGAGUCGGAUUUAAGUGAAACUAGUAUGGUUAAACUCGAAAUUGAAUUGGCUGUCGAAUUUUAUGAGUUUUGUUAGGUUGAGGUGCGGGCCCAGAUUGGACUUUUUGGAUAUUUUGGGAUUUGAUUAAAGAUUCAACAUUUAUUGAUACAUUUAUUUCCUUUGACAUUAUUUGAUGUACUUGAGUUGCUUUUGGCUAGUUUUGAGUCGUUAGAAGGUCAGUACGCGCGAGAUGGCAUGUUUGGACCAUCUUUGGCUUGUACGGUAUUGGAUUCGACUUGUUCGAGGUAAGUAAUACUUCUAAACUUGAUGUUGAGAGUGUGAAAUCCCGAAUUAUUUGUUAUAUGUUCGGUGUUGAGGUGACGCACAUAAUAGGUAAUAGGUAUAUGGGCGUGCACCAUGUGAUAGUGACUCUAUUAUUCUUGCGGUACUGUAUAGUUACCCGAUCUUAUCUGUAACCAUACAACCUCUACGUACUGGAGCUAUUGAGUUGUGAUCCAUGUUAGAGACCAUGUCUAGGCUUCAUUUUUAUUUUGUUGGGACCCAAUGAGGUUAUUUUUAUUGUUGAAUUAUAUGUUUAAAUUGCAAUUUCAUACUUAGUCAUGUUCAUUCAUUCCGUAUCAUAUCUCGAUCGUUGUUGCUAUUUACUGUUACAUCAUAUCAUCAUUUUGGAAUAGUUCAAUGGAAUUGUGAGCCCGAAAGACUAGAGAGAUUGAUGACAGAGUGAAGCUGAGGUCCUGAUUGUGACGAUAUUGAUAUUAUAGCAUGUGAGUUAUACGUAUAACAUGUGAUUUAUCCGUGCGGAUCUUGAUACUCAUACUAUAGCAUGCAAGUUGUCAUGCAACACAUGAGUUGUCUAUGUAGCACGUGAGUUGUCCGUGCGGAUUAUAGCACUUGGGCUAAAGGAUCCCCUCCGGAGUACGCACACACCCGUAGCGGGUAUUUUAUAGUGCUGAGUGAUUGAGUGUCCUGAGUAUUGAGCAUGGUGAGAGAAAAUGUGAGACCGUUAGACUCGGAAUUUGUUCGAGCUCGUCACUACUUUCAAUCUAAGGUUAGGUUUGUUACUUAUUGAGUAUAUAGGGUUAGUUAUACUCAUACUACAUUUUUUCAUCUUGCAUGCAGAUGUUGGAUAUAGUUGUUGUUUUGUUCGACUAGAAAUGGAUUGAAGAUGUACCUAUGUUCUGGUUAUCGCCGCCUCUUGUUCAUGACAGCUCUAGACUUAUGAAAGAUCUGUUCAUCUAUAAUUCAAACAGAUGAUGCACAUUAUUUCAUAUCAUC
rnacentral:lncRNA from 1 species